rnacentral:tRNA from 1 species
GCCCCGGUAGCUCAUCCGGUAGAGUGCAUGCCACAUACGCAGUGGCCCAGGUUUGAAUCCGGCCUGGGCC